UGCUGUUCCCACAGGACUCAGCCCAG
rnacentral:piRNA from 1 species